rnacentral:rRNA from 1 species
UACGUAGGGUGCGAGCGUUGUCCGGAAUUAUUGGGCGUAAAGGGCUCGUAGGCGGUUUGUCGCGUCGGGAGUGAAAACGCCGUGCUUAACACGGCGCUUGCUUUCGAUACGGGCAGACUAGAGGUAUGCAGGGGAGAACGGAAUUCCUGGUGUAGCGGUGAAAUGCGCAGAUAUCAGGAGGAACACCGGUGGCGAAGGCGGUUCUCUGGGCAUCACCUGACGCUGAGGAGCGAAAGUGUGGGGAGCGAACAGG